rnacentral:rRNA from 1 species
GUCUACAGCUAUGCCACCCUGAACAAGCUCGAUGUCUGAUCUCGGAAGCUAAGCAGGGUUGGCCUGGCCUGGUUAGUAUUUGGCUGGGAGACCAUCUAGGAAGACCAGGUGCUGUAGGCA